CUAGUAAUCGCGGAUCAGAAUGCCGCGGUGAAUACGUUCCCGGGUCUUGUACACACCGCCCGUCACACCAUGGGAGUCGGAAAUGCCCGAAGCCGGUGACCCAACCAAAAGGAGGGAGCCGUCGAAGGCAGGUCUGAUAACUGGGGUGAAGUCGUAACAAGGUAUC
rnacentral:rRNA from 1 species